AGUAAGUUGAGUGGUCGCGUGCCUUUUUGGUAUGAGGAAAGUCCGAGCUCCAUAGGGCAGGAUGCCGGGUAACGCCCGGUGAAGGCGACUUCAAGGAAAGUGCAACAGAAAUAAACCGCUUAUUUUUUAUAAGUAAGGAUGGAAAGGUAAGGUAAGAGCUUACCGUAUCUUUGGUGACAAAGAUAGCUAUGUAAACCCCAUCUGGAGCAAGACCGAAUUGAAACAUAAGGAGCUGCCCGUUCCGUUUCAGGUAAAGGUCGCAUGAAUUGAUAGGUAACUGUAAAACAAGAUAGAUGACCAUUCAAGACAGAACUCGGCUUAUAGACUUGCUCAU
rnacentral:RNase_P_RNA from 1 species